CAGGCGCAGCCGGCAGACUCGUCUUACGUCAGUUCCGCCUUGUGGUGGGAGCGGCGAGCGGGUGGCUGGGCUGGGUGCUGGCCUCAGGUUCCCGGGGGCGUAGGCUCGCGAGCCUUUCCGGCCAGCCGUGAUGAGAUGAGGAAGGGAUUCGAAAAUGGGUCGGGCGUGAUGGCGCGUCUGCGGUCCGGCCCCGGGGAGGCAGAGGCAGGCGGAUCUGGAGCUGAGGCCAGUCUGGUCCGCAUAGCGAGUUUCAGGCCAGCCACGACUGCCUGAAGACCUUUGAUGAAGCCAUGGUGCAAAAACAUUACCAAAGGGAGGUCUGGAGGAAUAUGAGGAAAGAAAAGUAAAUAACUAUACUAACUAUGGCCUAAUAACAAUAAUAAACAAGUAACCAAAUGAUGGACUACAUA